AGAGUUUGAUCAUGGCUCAGAAUUAACGCUGGCGGCAUGCCUAACACAUGCAAGUCGCACGAGAAAGCCCGGUUCGCCGGGCGAGUAAAGUGGCGCACGGGUGAGUAACGCGUGGAUAAUCUACCUCAUUCUGGGGGAUAACGUACCGAAAGGUGCGCUAAUACCGCAUAACCCGGUUGAUUUUCGGAUUGACCGGUAAAGGUGACCUCUUCAUGAAAGUUACCGGGAAGAGAUGAGUCCGCGUCCCAUUAGCUUGUUGGUGGGGUAAUGGCCUACCAAGGCUCCGAUGGGUAGCUGGUCUGAGAGGACGAUCAGCCACACUGGAACUGGAACACGGUCCAGACUCCUACGGGAGGCAGCAGUGAGGAAUAUUGCGCAAUGGGGGAAACCCUGACGCAGCGAUGCCGCGUGGGUGAAGAAGGCCUUCGGGUCGUAAAGCCCUGUCAAGUGGGAAGAAAUGUCUUAGGGCUAAUAUCCUUAGGGCUUGACGGUACCACUGAAGGAAGCACCGGCUAACUCCGUGCCAGCAGCCGCGGUAAGACGGAGGGUGCAAGCGUUAUUCGGAUUUAUUGGGCGUAAAGAGCGUGUAGGCGGCCGGUCAAGCCAGAUGUGAAAGCCCAGGGCUUAACCCUGGAAGUGCAUUUGGAACUGGUUGGCUUGAGUUCGGGAGAGGGAAGUGGAAUUCCGGGUGUAGAGGUGAAAUUCGUAGAUAUCCGGAGGAACACCGGUGGCGAAGGCGACUUCCUGGACCGAAACUGACGCUGAGACGCGAAAGCGUGGGGAGCAAACAGGAUUAGAUACCCUAGUAGUCC
rnacentral:rRNA from 1 species